UAGCGGAGAAAUUCCAAUCGAACUCGGAGAUAGCUGGUUCUCCCCGAAAUAGCUUUAGGGCUAGCCUCAUAUUAGAUACCCGGAGGUAAAGCACUGAAUGGCCUAGCGCCCGAGAGGGUAGCGAAGCCUAUCAAACUAAGAAUGCCGGAGUAUUGAUGUAUGGGAGUCAGACAGUGUGAGAUAAAUCUCAUUGUCAAAAGGGAAACAGCCCAGAUCUACAGCUAAGGUCCCAAAUUGUAUCUAAGUGGAAAACGAUGUGGAAAUACGCAGACAACCAGGAUGUUGGCUCAGAAGCAGCCACUCAUUUAAAGAGUGCGUAAUAGCUCACUGGUCGAGCGUCUCUGCGCGGAAAAUUUAACGGGGCUAAGAUACAAACCGAAGCUUAGGCUGCACGUAAGUGCGGGGUAGGGGAGCGUUGUGUAAGCGGAGAAACAGUAGCGUAAGCGGCUGUGGAGUUUACAGAAGUGAGAAUGCCGGAAUGAGUAGCGCGAAUGUGGUGAGAAUCCACAUGGCCGGAAACCUCAGGUUUUUGGAGGAAGGUUCGUCCGCUCCAAGUUAGGCGGGAGCUAAGGUCAGGCCGAAAGGCGUAGCCGAUGCACAGACGGUAGAGAUUCCGUCCCCACCGAAAGAUUUAAGCACAGGGACACUUUUUGAAGGUCGGAGCCAGGUGUUGGUUCUGGUAGUGAUCGAGGGAAAUAUAGUACCGAAGUCCGGCUGGAAGAGAGGCGAGAAAAGCUGUGUGUAUAUCUAAGGUGCCCGUACCGCAAACCGACACAGGUAGGUAGGAAGAAGAUUCUAAGGCCAACGGGAGAAGGGUUGUUAAGGAACUCGGCAAAUUGACCCCGUAACUUCGGGAGAAGGGGUGCUCCAGAGAUGGAGCCGCAGAGAAUCGGCCCAAGCAACUGUUUACCAAAAACACAGGUUUGUGCUAAAUCGAAAGAUGACGUAUACGAGCUGACGCCUGCCCGGUGCUGGAAGGUUAAAAGGAGAUGUGCAAGCAUUGAAUUGAAGCCCCAGUGAACGGCGGCCGUAACUAUAACGGUCCUAAGGUAGCGAAAUUCCUUGUCAGGUAAGUUCUGACCCGCAUGAAAGGCGUAAUGAUUUGGGCACUGUCUCAACAGCCCGCCCGGCGAAAUUGUAGUACCGGUGAAGAUGCCGGUUACCCGCGACAAGACGGAAAGACCCCAUGGAGCUUUACUGUAGCCUGAUAUUGGGUUUCGGUGUUGCAUGCACAGGAUAGAUGGGACGCUGGGAAAGAAGCGCUUUGGCGUUUCUGGAGCGGACGUUGGGAUACCAUCCUUGCGACAUUGGAAUUCUAACCUGCGCCUCUGAAUCGAGGCGGGGGACAUUGUCAGGUGGGCAGUUUGACUGGGGCGGUCGCCUCCUAAAAAGUAGCGGAGGCGUUCAAAGGUUCGUUCGAUCUGGACGGAAACCAGAUGAUUGAGUGCAAACGCAUAAACGAGCCUGACUGCGAGACUGACGGGUCGAGCAGAGACGAAAGUCGGAGUUAGUGAUCCGGUGGUAUGUGAGUGGAAAUGCCAUCGCUCAACGGAUAAAAGUUACCCUGGGGAUAACAGGCUGAUCUCCCCCAAGAGUCCACAUCGACGGGGAGGUUUGGCACCUCGAUGUCGGCUCAUCGCAUCCUGGGGCUGAAUUCGGUCCCAAGGGUUUGGCUGUUCGCCAAUUAAAGCGGUACGCGAGCUGGGUUCAGAACGUCGUGAGACAGUUCGGUCCCUAUCUGUCGUGGGCGCAGGAUAUUUGAAAGGCGCUGUCCCUAGUACGAGAGGACCGGGAUGGACGAACCUCUGGUGCACCAGUUGUCACGCCAGUGGCACAGCUGGGCAGCUAUGUUCGGAUCGGAUAAACGCUGAAAGCAUCUAAGCGUGAAGCCGGCCUUAAGAUAAGAUAUCCCACUGAGUCAAUCAGGUAAGACCCCUUGAAGACUACAAGGUUGAUAGGCACACAGUGUAAGCGGAGUGAUCCGUUCAGCUAGCGUGUACUAAUAGGUCGAGGGCUUGACCCC
rnacentral:rRNA from 1 species